GAAGUCAGGUAGGUUGGUCAUGCCUAUGGUAUGUACUGGCUUUACUGUUUCCUCCUUCUUAGAUGAUCUGUAAUGUCAUUAAUUUGGUGUUGCAGGGAGUCAGGACUGUUACUUUGAAAAAAUUAGAGUGUUUAAAGCAGGCAUACGCUUGAAUACAUUAGCAUGGAAUAAUGAAAUAGGACGUUCGAUCCUAUUUUGUUGGUUUCUAGGAUUGACGUAAUGAUUAAUAGGGAUAGUUGGCG
rnacentral:rRNA from 1 species